rnacentral:lncRNA from 1 species
AUGUUGAAAAAAUGCAAGCAAAAUUCAAAAAAAUAUUUCUUUCCAAUUCCUCCGAUUUACUUAAUUGGUGCAAUUUUAAAUCCUUCUAUUAAAUGUCUGAUUGUCACCAAUUAAUGAAUGCUUUAUAUACUUAUAUGGAGAUUGGUGAAACUGAAACCCUAAAUUUAUAUGUUUCUACGAACAAGCUAAAUGAAUAUUUACAACAACAAUAUAAUUAUUAUGCAAAUGAAUGUGAUAAUGCUGCUCGUGCUUCUGGCAAUGUUAAUCCCGCU